GUGAUCAUUGUGAUGCUGGUUUAAGUCCAGACAAGUGUUUUCUGUAUAUUUAGAUAAUGUAGAAAACCUUAUCUGGAUUUGUACCAGCAUCAGAUUAU
rnacentral:pre_miRNA from 1 species